ensembl:snoRNA
AUCCUCUUCAGUUCACAAGCAUGAUGAUUGGGCGUUCAUGCCAUUUGUGAAAUUUGCCUCCCUCUAAACCUUUUUAUGACAUCAGCAUAUCACCCAUCUGAAG